CCCACAGAAGAUUGAGGAUUUCAAGGAGAAGGUCAGAAAUCAUUUUUCUGAUCUCGAUCUCAAGCCCUUGGACUCGAAUGGUAAGGAAGAAGAAGUCGGCGAGGUCAGGGAUGACGAAGUACGGGUCAAGGACCUCUUCAACCCGAUUCAAGAAGCUUGGGCGGCCGAGGAUGCAACGUUGAUUCAACCUCCUACGGUGAUCGUACUUUCCAACCAUGGCGAUGCCAG
rnacentral:lncRNA from 1 species